AGCAGCCGCGGUAAUUCCAGCUCCAAUAGCGUAUAUUAAAGUUGUUGCAGUUAAAAAGACUCGUAGUUGAAUUUCGGGAUCGAAUUGUUGGUCGUGCCUCGGUACGCACUGGCAUUAUCGGUUCCUACCUUCUGAAGAACCGCGAUGUCAUUAAUUUGGUGUCGUGGGGAAUCAGGACUGUUACUUUGAAAAAUUAGAGUGUUUAAAGCAGGCUUACGCUUGAAUACAUUAGCAUGGAGUAAUGAAAUAGGACGUUUGAUUCUAUUUUGUUGGUUUCUAGGAUCGACGUAAUGAUUAAUAGGGAUAGUUGGGGGCAUUAGUAUUCAAUUGUCAGAGGUGAAAUUCUUGGAUUUAUUGAAGACUAACUACUGCGAAAGCAUUUGCCAAGGAUGUUUUCAUUAAUCAAGAACGAAAGUUAGGGGAUCGAAGACGAUCAGAUACCGUCGUAGUCUUAACCAUAAACUAUGCCGACUAGGGAUCGGACGAUGUUAAUUUUAUAAUGACUCAUUCGGCGCCUUAC
rnacentral:rRNA from 1 species